rnacentral:rRNA from 1 species
CCUACGGGUGGCAGCAGUGGGGAAUAUUGCUCAAUGAGCGCGAGCCUGAACCAGCCAAGUCGCGUGCGGGAGGACGGCCCUACGGGUUGUAAACCUCUUUUGCCGGGGAGCAACGGUCGCCACGUGUGGCGUCACUGAGAGUACCCGGAGAAAAAGAAUCGGCUAACUCCGUGCCAGCAGCCGCGGUCAUACGGAGGAUGCGAGCGUUCUCCGGAUUUAUUUGGUUUAAGGGGUUCGUAGGCGGAUCGUUAAGUCAGUGGUCAAAUUGAGGGGCUCAACCCCUUCCCGCCAUUGAAACUGGCGUUCUUGAGUGGAAGAGAAGUAUGCGGAAUGCGAGGUGUAGCGGUGAAAUGCAUAGAUAUCACGCAGAACACCGAUUGCGAAGGCAGCAUGCCGGCUUCCGACUGACGCUGAAGCACGAAAGCGUGGGGAUCGAACAGGAUUAGAUACCCCAGUAGUC